rnacentral:lncRNA from 1 species
UUCUUUUAGCCUUCCUGGAAAUUUCUUUUGUCCGAAUUGGCAAAGUAACACAGGAUUGAAUUCAAACAUAGACACGAUUAUGGUUGGUUGGUAAUGGUCAAUAUGUUACCUUGAAUGUACGUCUACCAUAGUCUUCAAGUAGUUUUAUGGGCUUCAAAACUAUUGGUUAGUCCGCGAGCUCAUCAUUUGGAGGAUCACCCAUCUUGUUAUCAUACUUAAUCAUACUUAACUUCUUUUUAGUGUCUAAUUCGCUUUUGCUUG